UCACAUAUACCCAGAUGGGUUGUAAAGCCAGACAAUACAGUGGUAAAGCACCUCUAGAGCUUUUUUUCACUUCUUGUUAUUUUCUCAACAAUCUAACAUUGAAUAUAAACAAGUAGCCAAAAACAAAUGAAAAGAGCUGCUAGGCACCAAAUAGCUUUCUGCACAGGGUGUGGUGAAAUGGGAUUGCUGUGGUGAUUGAGGAGCAGAUGAAACCUUUGGUAACUACAACAAAUCUCCGUAGUGAGUCAGCGCCUGUUUGCCACAGGUUUGAUUCCCCUCUCAGUCAGGUCUGUGUCCAUGCUGCCAGGCACUCCCACAGUGCCACGUGCAGACCUUGUGCCUAGGAAUGUCCCUUCUGAGCCCCUUAGGAACCCCAAGCUCAGCUACCAAAAGCUACUCCUAUAGUAUUGUGCUGGGACAGCAACAGGGUCCUCCAUGAUUUCCUUUCCUAUUGUUGUUAUCACCCAUCUUUGACAUUUUCUGUCUCAAUGUCAAGCAAGAUCUCUCAUUACAAGAACACUCACCACUGCAAUCAGAAGUAGGCUGCAGAUCAAAAAGGAGGCAUUUGCUGCCCAUAAGGGAGCAGGAGAAUGGACUGUUCCUGCAGAAUUUGCAGGUCAGCAGCCCGUGCUGGCUCCAUGGCUUUGCUCUCACACGCUGCAGAAAGCCAGACCAUUGGUACAAGCCAUGGCUGCACACCCCCAGGCCAGCCUCAGAGGGUUUAUAGUCUCAUUUGAAGAAACCAACAGCCACUGGAGAUUCCAAGUUCCACAGCUGCCAUCAGCCCUCAGCCUUCCUCCACCUCCAAAUACCCACAGGAAAAUGAGUACUAAAGCACUGCCAAAACCAAAUCCUCACAGACUGCUGCCAUCAAAGCCGAGCAGUGGAAACUGCUGAGGGAGGCAGCAGUCUAUGUGUUUUGGUGCCAACAUUCAAGUGUGUAAUAACUAGGAUUGGGAAUGUAGUCUCCAUUUUCUGCCACAUCUCAGGACUGGGCAUCUCAGAAGGGCAAGCACCUACACAUGCCUGUCUGGGGAGGAUGCCUACCCAAGGACUGUAGUGUGCAUUCUACUGUCUCAUUGUAGGUGAACACAGACCAGGGGAAGGAGAAGAUAUGACCACAUAAAAACCAGACAGCAGAUUUCCUUUCCCACUGGGCCCCCAAAGUUAUACACUGCCAGGGACUUCUCCUUUUAUGCAUCCUCUCUUGCCUUCUGUGUAAUCAUACAGAGCAUCUGAUCAUACAGCUCAGCUCUGGAAAGCCAUACACCAAAAAUGCCACACUUCAGAAGUGCCACAGCAUGGAUAUAGGACCUUGCCACUUAUGCUGUACUUCGCUUCUUCCUCUCUCACAUGAGCAGAUUGCAGCUUCUGCAAGAGAGAGGCUGCAGGGUAAUGGCUAUUUGUAUCAACAGCUAAAAAAGCAAACUUGUGAGACUUUGCUUUGGCUCAUAUCAGGUUUUCCUCAAUGUGUUCCCUUGCUACAGAGAAGGUCAGCUGCUGUCACUAACAAAUUAGCUAUACCACAUUUUCAGCUCCAGGUUGUGGCCUGAGAGUAACCACUGUAAUUACUUUGGCUGUGAUAUCUCCUAUUCUUCAGUUCUGCCAUUACAGAUGUAUGGCUGGCACUUCUUUCCGUGCUUCUGCUGGGAAGUAAUGCCCACAAAUAGUUUUAUAUCCAGAAAACUUGAAACUAUUUAAUUUUAUCACAGUUUAUAUUCACUUAAGCUUGCUUUACCCAUUCACUCUUUACAUUGUCUUGUUUUUUUGUUGUUGGUUUCUUUUUUUAUUUGAAAUUAAAAAAUGGUUGUUUUCCAUAACUUUUUCAGCAUCACAACAGAUCAUGAUGGAAUAUUUCCUAGUUGCCACAGGAUAUGAAUUAUAAGACACAGGAUUAUUAAAUUUUCACCUGCCUGUGCAUUUAGAUUCUACCUUAACUCCCAUCACUACUCUUUUGCCAGGUUCUCUGGAACAGAGGAAGAGUAAUGCCUUGCUUUAACCACAGGAAAGCAAGAUUUGGGGAAGAAAAAUGCAAUUGUUCAAACAUCACCAGGAGGCUUAUGUCAGCUUCAAACCCAAGGCUUGGCACAGCAUCUGAGUGAUUCAUGAGCAACAUCCUUCCAUGUGAUGAGAACGUGGCUGUAUUUUACAAACAGGAACCUGAAACAGAGAGGCAUCCACAGGAAAAGUGCCCCCUGAUUUUGCAACACUUGUGAUUGGAAAGUAGUUGCAUAAAUAAAUUCUUAAACAAGAAAUACCCUAAGAACCAGGAGGCAACAAAUGUCCCUGGCUGGUGGCAGCAGUCCUUUGGUGCUGGGCACUGGGGAAGCAAACAAUUGAGACAAGUUCAAAAUUUGACCAGAAAAACACAAGGAAAAAAAUAUCCAUUGAGGAUUAUAUGAUAUAAAGAUGAUAACACUGGCUCAGAAGACUGUUCAACACUAAUUUUUGGAGUCAUGAAAAAUACCAGAGAGAAGUAUUACUAUGUGACACUCUUGUUCCUGUAUGCUUUCCAGCAAGCCUGCUCUUGGCCACUGCCAGAGACAGGAUGCAGGGGGAGAUGGAUUAUUGGUCCUGAUCUGGCACAGCCACUCCUAUCUCUGCUGUUAAAAAAAAAAUGUGGCUAAACAACAGUUCUGAGUUUGGCCUAAGACUCCACAUGGCUCCAUAGAGCUUUAUCAACUAUUAGGAUGUUUUUAGUACACUCAAUAGCAAUAUGUUUGGCAGAAGCUGGAUGGUGUAUUUUAAGACAUCACUGGAAUUCAAAGAGGCAACCACAAAUUUCUGGUUGAUAAGGUCUUGGCCUAAUUGAUGCAGGUGAUUAACAGACUUGGCUUUCAGAGCUCAGUUUCCUUAGUGACACCUCUGCUCUCAAAAAUACUGGUCUUUGGCUUCCUACAAAGUCCCAUACAAUGUAGUAGCUUUUGAUCACAUAAUUGGACAAGAAACAAGUGAAACAAGAAAAACUAUACAUUAAAUCAUCGCACUUUUCAUGCAACCUGACACAUCUUCUCAGUGCUCCUAAUAAUAUAAAUUAAUGGAGUUAGCAUAUGUAGCUUCUUUUAGGUAGGCCAAGUUUAUCUCAGAUUUUUCCUGUCAGAAGUCACUAGAUUUUUUUAUUAUUAUUAUGUUUUAUUUCUUCCCUGGUAUGCAGCAAAGAUUUGACAUCUAACUGUCAUCAUGAAUCAAACAAAGAACUGAGAAUUCAUCACCAUAUACUGGCAGAGGGAUCUGCUGCCAUUUCCUUGGAAUGUCAAUGUGUCACCUUGUGUUUAGGGAAAGAUGAUUUUGAUGCUCUAUCUCUUGUUCCACUCUAAAGCAUAUUUACUUAGGAAAAAUAUUUUUUACCUUUCUUUGCCAUACCUUCUUAGGGCCUUUGAAAAACAAGAACAUCAGCAAAAUUUUCUAAGCUUAGUUCUCCAAUCCGUGUAGAUCUGUAAGUACAAUGCAAUAAAAGUCUGACCUGAAGGGACUUUCUAAUGAGUCAAUGCUGCUUCUUUCAUUGCUGAGAAACAUCACCAUCAAAAACAAGUUGAUAUAAGGAUCUGCUUUGAAAAAAGGUUAGUCAGAAAAGGUUUAUAAGACUCAGAAUGGGAUUUAGGUCUGAGAAGUCUCCAUUUCAGAAUAAUACUCUCCUGGGAGUGUGGAAAGGAUAGUAAGGGGUAACAUGAAGGGUCCUAUAUCCUGAGUAAUACUUUGGAUGUGACUACUGCCUGUGAAUCUUCCUCUCCAUACAGCAGCUCCAUACUGUAGAAAUCAUUAGAUAAGCAUGCAGCUGAGGAGGCAAACAGACUUUACAGCUUGCUGGUCCCAGCUUGGAGAAUCCUUAGCAACUCCUAGCUCCCUGUCGCAAAGGGAAAACUAGAACAAGGUCCUAAACCUGGCAUUUAGAUGUUCCAGACGAGUAUCCUGAUCAAAAAAAUGUUGUUUCCUUGGGUUGAUCUGGGUAAGGCAGAGAGGCUUUGUGGAAAGGGCCUUCAGAAGAGCUGAUUUCUUCUAAAAAGUUCAGAAACCACAGUGAGUCCUGCAAGACAAGAGAAGCAUCCCCCUUCUGCCAAAUUUCUCUUUCUCUCCUGGCGUCCAGCAGGACAUGGCAGCUCCAUGCAGGUUUAUACCUACAGAAACUUCUUCUUGCCUGGAGUUCUAAUGCAUGGGUACACACACUCCUUCCAAGUCAGAUUUUGAAAUAAUGCAUAACCCAGCCCAGUAUCUUCCACAGAUUUCCACCUGAUUGAGGGACUGAGACAUGCCUUCCUCCACCAGUAGGAAGUCUCACCUCAUGUUACAGCCAGCAACUGUUCCAUGUAAGGGGCUUUGGGACAAAGGCAAGAAGCCAUGUCUCUUCAGCUGGGAGCACCAUCCCCUAAGGAUUCACCUCUACCAGUAAAGCACACAGGGUACAGACCCAGCCUCUGUAGCAUGAUCAUUCAUUUUCUUAAAUUGUCAUCAUGGUUCAUGGGCCAAUUUUAGCUCUUCUUGCCAUAGUUUGGAGAUUAGCACAAGAUACAGACUUAUUUCAACUGGGUUUUAUGCAAUCUUCUGAUUUAAAAGGAAAAGAUAAGUCCAUGGAAACAAAUUCUUUAUUGCGCAACUUUGCUUAAGAGACAGGACUCAGCCCAGAACUCUUUUUCUUUUUUUCUUUUUUUCUUUUUUCUUUUUUUUUCUUUUUUAUUUUCUUUUUUUUUUCUUUUUUCUUUUUUCUUUUUUCUUUUUUCUUUUUUUUUUCCCUAGAUAUAGACCUUGACCUGUGUGAUUUGGGGUCAACAGUUGCCCUACAAGGCACUAAACUCUCUGCACCAUCUGAUAAUUGAGGCAUUCUCCCACAAAAUGAGACUUUCAGAUACGAAUCCUAUCAGGCAUAGGAAAGAUAAGCUUGGAUCUGCUGUAAAGAUAAAUUCUCUUACCAGGGAGCCUGGGCACACACAGACAGUGGCUUCAUUUCAAAUGUCCCACAGGCACAACAUUUGCAUUGGAUUGUGCCAUGUUGAGCCUGAAUGCAAAGGGAUUUGACAAGUGCUCCUUCCCAGAGCAGGCAGCGUGGGAUUAGUGCACACAGAGCUGGCACAAAGACAAGUCUGAGUCCAAGCACACAGAUCCCCAGGGACUCAUCUGUACCAGUAAAGCAAACUGGGCAUGGACCCAGUCUCUGGAGCUGGAUCAUUCAUUCGCAUUAUUAAUAUAAUUAUAUUAUUAUAAUGGUUACUGGUCCAAUAUAAGUAAUUUAAUGCCACUUUUACUGUCUAGGACAGUGGAUAUUUAUUGCUGCUAGAGCCCAGUGCUGUACAUUAUGACCAGACACUGUCAGGCAACCAUUUAAUUUUCUGCCCACAUUAGAAACCAGAAUGGAUUCCUAAAAUGGAGUAUGUUGCAGUAUCUGCUUAUGAAUCCUGUAGUCAUUCUUCCUCAGCUUAUCCUGGCACUUGAACAUAGACUGAAUACCCCAUUACUUCUGAAAUAUAACAUUAAUAAACUCAGAAGAGCCAAACUGAGGGCAUAAUUCCCCCACCCUCAAUGCUUUCAUACACAUGCUGGAGAAAAGCUUUCUUUGUGUUGGUACAAUAAUCCACUUUGCAAUUACCAACAGCACAGCAGGCUUGCCUAAUUGAAGAGAUAAUGUCAGUGGAAUAGUCUUCUGCUGUAAAAUAUUGCAAAUAGAACUGUGCAGAGAAAAUAGUCAUUUGGACUUUUUUUUAGGGGCAACGUUUUAUUUGAGUAACUCUCAUUUUUGCACUAAAGCAUCAGCAUAAAGAAGCAAAGAGCAGAUGAUGCUUGUUUCUUUUACAAAUUAACAAUUUACUGAAAUGAUGAAUCUCUUAAAAAAUAUAAUCAAAUCGUGUCUCAUGGUGUCCCUAUCGCUCAUAUACCUCACUUGGAGCAAUAAAAAUUCAGCAAAAUAAGACCUUGAUCCCACAGAUCUUAAAUAUAUAUCCUUAUCUUCUUUAUUUACAAUAGUGUUAUUGAAAUCAAUAGUCAUUAAGCUGAGUCCAGGCAAAAGCUUUUUCAGGGUUGACAAGAAAGUACAAUUUAAGGUAGCUACCAGUACCAGUCUGAUUCUGAAAGAACAAAUGUCAUCAUUUUUUAUAAAGCUUCAGCAAAUUGCCUCCCUGACAUUUUUGGAAGUUAUUUUGACAAUCUUCUCCUUAAUUUCUGAGUUAUGUCAAGCUUGUGGAAACACACUGUAAUGCCAUGAAAUUUUGAAAAUGAAAUUUUGUCUUCCUGUGAAAGGUUCAUGUAAUCCUAUUUUUACAUGUUUACACUGCAUUUCAAAAAUAAAUCAAGUUCAUUCUGCACCACAAAGGUGUGGAUGUAAACAUCUGAGAUGACAGUGGUGGCAGUUAUGUAAAAACACAUUUAUUUUAUUGUUCACUAAUUUUCCUUCUGCCAUCUGUUUCCCCAUCUAUACCUUUCUCUUUCUUUGUCCAACAGCCUCAGUUGUAGGUUCUCUAGGCCAAGCAGCCACAGAAAAAAGCACUUCUGCUUUUUGCAAAAUAAAUGCAUGUAAUGCAGCAGAGGACAAGCACUUACCCUGAGUGGGUGAUGCUCUGAACGAAGAGGGCCUUGCUGUUCAGAAGAGAGGAGGACUAGCUGCCACCCUGACACCUCCCUCAAGAGGAACACUGGAAGGAAAUAUUGACUUAAAUGUAUUUCCUUCUUGCUGUUCUGCACCUGUUAGUGCCACUACCCUACUAGGACUGUACUUAUGAUCAUAUAUACGUGUCCCUAAAAAAAAGACCAGGUCAAACAAUGGAGAAGGGAUAGCACUUAUUCCAGUCAAUCUAAAAUCUGUGGUAAUGUAACCCAAAAUUCAGACAGCCUUCAUUGCUGCAAAGACUGACUCAUGCUCAACUUUUUAUAUCCAAAACCCCAAGGUCUUCCACUGUUAGGCUGCUUUCCAGAAAGUAAGCUCCAAUUCCAUCUCCUUGCAGCUCCCUGAGAAGCUCAGCAUUGCUUGAUGAUGAAGGAGGUUUGAGUGACAGAGUUCAGGAGCAGGGUCAAGCUGAAAGGUGUUUCCUUUCUCUCUGCACCAUAAACAACAUCACAGGAGAAGCCAGAAAAAAAAAUCUUAUUCUGUAGAUCACACUAGUUUACGGGAAAAGGUGGAAGUCCAUGGGAAGAAUUGGUAAAAAGGUCUCCUAGCUGAGGAAAGAGCUUAGAGGUCAUCAGAUCCGUGCAGGAGGGACCUGCUCCCCAGAAUCCAGAGGUGUUGGCAGUGGAAUCUGACCAAGUCCAUAUGAAAAUGCUGAGACUUUUCAGUGCUAAUACCUCCAGCACUUUUUAGAAGCUGAGGAUGGCAAUAGACUGCUUUGUAGCACAGGUGUGCACAUGUGACUGUCUGGUUUAAGGGAGCAAUAUCAAACAAAACAAGAACAGACUAAGUUAUUAUCAAUAUACUACCAGCAAGAUGAGCAUAUUUUUUUGCAAUACACUGGAAAAUAGAAAUAAGUCAUCACCUUGUAGAGGGCAUAUAGCUUACCCUGAUACUUCCCUCGGGGGCUCAAGUUGUCACCUGGCCUUCUGUGCAAGCUUGGGGAUAGGAAAAUCCAGUGUGUGGUAGGUGGACUUGCUGCUUGCAUGUGUACUAGCCACACUAAACACAAGAGGGAAAUAAAACUGAGAAAGAUUUUACUGAGUUAUCAGUUCUGCCAGGGAAGGACCCUGUUAUCCCCAAGGUAAGAGCCAUACAGGUUUCCCAGCCUAAGGCAUAAUUAAUUUCAAUCUGCUAAUACUUGCAGUCCUCAAAGACAUGUUACUGCACUAAAAAGGACAAAAGACACAACUGAUAUAACUCAUCAGAAAACACACAAAACCAGGAAGGACAAAAACAGAGCCAGUUUCACUAACAACAUUACCAUCUUUCCUCUCAAAUCCUUUCACUUCUCUUCCAUCAAGUUUCCUCUUCUCUGUUUCAUCACUUUUGUUUCUCAGGCAAAAUGAUUGUAUAUGCUGAUAGAAAAGUCAAGUAAAUUAUGCCUUUUCAGGGUUAUUUUUUUUUCCUCACUAAUAUUCUUUGAUCUUUCUCCCCAGAAAUAAUAAAACUAAAAAUCUCCUUUCAUAUCUGCCUCCAAACCUGGACAAGGUGAACUCAAACUGCAACUUGAAAUGUUCACAGCUUCAUGCAGAUCCUAUUUUAAUUCCUCUUUUCCUGUAUAAAAUCAGUCUUUUUACAGCUUUUGACUUCUGUGCAACUUGAAUUAUCAUCACUAACUAAUUGCUAUAAAUUUUAGACUCAGGGACUUUGAAAAUUUUAGAGUUGAAAGGCACAAAAAUGCUUCACAAUAUUCAUUUCAGUGCAGCUUUGAUAUUGUCUGAUCCACUGAGCACUUGCUUUCCUCAACAGAAUGUUAAUUCAUAAAGUCCCCAAAGCUCCUUUCUAGACUUAAUAACAAAAUAAAUCAUGAAGAGGGGAAGUCUGAAGAAUAAACAAGUCAGCUGUAGUAUCUCUUAGAGCUUUUCUAAGUCUUGAAUUUCCCUUGCAGAUCAGUAGAUCAGAAAUGCUGACCAAUUACAACAACAAUGCCACCAGUUCAGAAUCAACUGCUUCCAACUGCUUCAGAAUGCUCAUAUACAGAAUAAAGGCUAUUUCUCAGUAGUAUCAUUGUACUUAAGCUUAGCUUGUACUUCCCAGGGAGUUUCCCAAGUAAUAAGUAAAUUGCUAAAUAACAAUGUACUACAUUUCUUUUCAGGUACCACACAGAGAGUUUCUGAGACAUUCAAGAACAGAACGUAGUUCUUUGGUUCCACAUCUGUGCAUACACGCCCCUUGUUGUCAGAGAUUAGGAUGUCUAUCUAACCUCUGGCUGUCACACAGCCAGGACUGAGCCCUGGGUGCUGUGGCUGAAGUGCUCUCGGGCUGUGUGGUGGGAUGGCAGGGCCAGCUUGUCUCACACACCCGGCAGUAAUGAAGGGAGGGCAUCCUGGUGGUCAUUCUCAGGGGUAUGUUUGUCACAGGGACAGAGCAGGGUGUUUCUGAGGCUGCUGCACAGUGCUGUGACCCAAGCAGCAGCAGCAGCAGCAUCAUCCUUGGCCAGUCAGUCACCCUGGCUACUGCACUACCAAAGGACCUUUGCAGCACAAGCACCUCACCUGAGCACAGGCACCUUGGGCACCUCCCAGCAACUACCUGCAAGCACACCUGCAAGACCAGCACAAACUUUGAACACUGUAACAUAUUUCUUGAUAGUUAAAACACAAGCAAUACCACAAAGUGGAAGCUUUAAAAUUGGAAAGUAUUUGCCCUUUGAGGAGCACAUCACAUCCACAAAAGGAAUGUACCCUUUGCCUGCCCGGGUCUGACCUCUGCCCAUCCCCUCCAUGGCUCUUCCCCACGCCCUGCAGAGGCAGGCAGCCCCUCCUCUGGAAGCAGAAAGGCAUCUCAGUGCUGAGAUCUCCCUCUUGUGUGAAGCUAAUAAAGUCUCUGUGCACGUAAUCUCUGUGUUCUGAAUACCUGCCAAAAGAGCAAGGAGCUUUCUACCAACAUAGAAAGAGAAGGGAAGAGCCCACACAAAGUCUGCUCAUCUAAAAAAAGGAGACAUACAUUUAGUGUGAGAAUACCUUUGGGGGAGCAAGGGAAAGUGCAGAUGCUCAGGGUUCAUCCUCAUGGAUUUGUCCAAUUGAGAAAGUGUUACAGAGGCAGCAGUGUGCUGGUUAAGAAAGUGAUUCAGCCCCCAAGUAUUUCAUGAACAGGCAGGAAGUAGUCUUUAGCCAAGGAAACUGAAGGGAGAGCACUUUAUACAGACUUCAUUUGUGACAAGAGUUUUUUCUGAAGGUGAUGUUGUGCUGCUUCUGUCUCCAAAUAGAACUCUUUUUUUUAUAUAAAUAUAUACAACCUGGUUUUGUGUUUUGGGCACACUCAGUGCACAAAAUCAGGAAAACUUGCCUGCUAAAGCAAAUCAGUAGCCAUGAUGCCCUCCUCAUGGCUACAAAGUCUAAAAUGGAUGUGGCUUCUAUUCUAAGAGUAAACACAAAAUACCCUAUACCAAACUCCAGAUGCUGUUAGCACUUUUUACUGUCAGCAUUAGACAAAGCAAUGACAUCUGCAUUACACAAGAAAAUAAACUUGUGAGUCCAUGCUACCUUUGUAUGUGUGAGCUUCUUUCCUUCCCUGCCUGUUUACCUCUGGAAUGAAACACAGUAUUCUAGCAAACAUUUAGUCAAAAGAUGUCUACAGUCAGUAUAUCUGGGUCCAAAGAUUCCAAAGUUGGCUUCUUACAUGGCAAAACAACCCCCUUUUUUAUCCUUUAUUAGUAUAGAUAAACAAACAUAUUAGAGAAUACUAUAAGUUUAUAUUGUUUUUUCUCCCCCUCAGAAUGCAAAGCAAAUAAUUAAGAAAAUAGUUUUGAACACUUUCCUCAUUUUGCUCUUCUUACUUCACACCAUUUGAAAGUAGGAUCUUGUAAAGGAUAUUAAGAGACACUUGACAAGGAGAGACAAGAAAGAGGCAAACUACAUUCAGUACCUAAAAGUCAAUCUGGAAUUGCAGCUUCUUGGAAGUCAAAAAUAUUUACACUACCUACAAUGCAAUCACUUACAGAUUAUUUUAAUGUGCUGGUAUCUAUAUGAAUCUAUGUCUUUCCCAUGAUUCAGGGUGUGUGAUGGAAUUAUUUUUGCUUGAGAGAUGUAGGAAAGGUGUUUCCAGUCAGGUAUUGCUGCUCAUUACAGCUGAAAAGUACUCCAGCUCCAAUGACUGCAGUGAAGUCCCAUACCCCAGGAUCCUAUGUACAUUUGAUGAUGGCCAUUGAGGAGAAGACCUUCACUAAAUGAUGGAAAAUUCCAGUUUCUUGUCAUACCUACUUUCUCUGAAUUCAUCAGGAACCAGAGAGAAGUAGCAGGAAAAAGCUAACAAUGAAGCUGUCACUACACUUGAAAACGCAUUCCAAUUCCAAGCCAUGACAUGAUCCCUCUUAAAACUUUUGGCAAUUGUUUCAAAGGUCAUCAUACAAGGAUAAUUUUGGCCCUGAAAGAGCCAUUGUGCUUCCAGACAUGUGAAGUCUCUUUAUAGACCAAAUUAAACCCAUAGCAUUUUUCUGUGUUGACAUUUUCCUUUUCCUCUUCCUCUUCUUCUUCUUCUUCUUCUUCUUCUUCUUCUUCUUCUUCUUUUCUUCUUCUUCUUCUUCUUCUUCUUCUUCCUCCUCCUCCUCCUCCACUUCUUCCUUUCAUAAGAGAAUUAAGUUGCAAUACUGCUUAAAGGAAAUGAAUGCAUUUGGUGGGUGUGCAAAAGAUGUAAUCCCAGUUCCCUACAAUUUUGUACAAGAAAAACAGCUGCCAAACACUAGGCUUUUAAAAACAACAGCGUUGUGUAUUGGCACAGUCUCUGCAGUGGAUUAAUACAGGGUGAACACCAACAAUACACUCCACUAAAUACAGCCAGUGUUUAAAACCAUCUUUUUCUUUUCUUUCUGUUGUUUUUCUUUUUAAUAGAAUCAAUCACAUUUGGUGGGGCACUGUUGUGCUCUGGCUUUCAGUCUUGACUGCCAAACUGCUCUGAAUCUUUGUCUUUUAUUCCACGUUGGAGCUUUGACCUUUGAGAAUUUUUCCCAGAUUAAGUGCUGAGAAACAUUACUCAUAUUCAAAUUGACAUAGCUGUGUUGAAAAGGUUGUUUUUCCUCUGCCCAAACAAUCAAUGCUAUGUCAGACUAAUAGCCUGACCUUGAAAAUGUUCUAUCAGAGAAAGGGAUCAGCCACAAUAUCUGAGCUGUCUCUGUCAGACAGUAGAUAUUGUCCAUUGCCUUGUAAUCUCCUUACACAUUUUUGAAUCUUUCAGUGAUUUUUUUUCAAGUAAAUGUAAGAAUACAGAAAAGCUAAUUCCGAAAUUAAUCAUCUGUAUUGUAUCGUAUUCCAGCAAAUCAUCUGGUAAAGUCUUGCAUUCAUACAGACAAUUUUUUUAGCAGGUAAGGAGUAACUUUCAUUAAAAUGAAUUAAUUAAGAUUAAGGUUAAAUGAGUAUUUCCCAAAACAUUGAUUUCCUCCUGAACAUAAUUUUCUUGGACUACAUGUAACAAUGAUCAACAUGUAGAUAUUUAAUGUAUUCUGAUUUGAUUCUAGAAGAUUUUAGAAAGUUUUUUUAAUCCACUUUUUUUCUUUUUUUUUUCUUUUUUUCUUUUUUUUUUUCUUUUUUUUUUUUUUCAUUUGUGAGCCCUUUUUAUACAGAUAUAUUUGUAUAUUCAACUAUUUGGCCAUUCUAAAUUCAGACAGAGUGAACUCUGGUCUUUGUUUUAUGUUGUAAGAAAAUAUCUUUGCAGUCAAAUCCUGGUUCAAGUAAAUAAAAAAAUUCCUAUGGAUUCCAGAAGGGUCAAGACAUCACAUUCUCUGUUCAUUUGGCAUAACUAUUAAAUGACCCACAUGACCUGGUUAAAAGAUCGCAGUCUUGUCAUAUUUUCAAACACUUUACCUACAUUUUCUUACUGACAUGUAGUUAUCCAUUAAGUCAGUUCAGCUAUUUGGUUUGCAUUUUAUUUCACCAAAGUGUGUGUUAAUGAAGCCCAACAAACUCUGCAUUUGGGAAAAAGACAUGCAAGUUAUUUGAGUAAAGAAAUUGAUGAAUCCUGAACAAUGUUUCUGAAUGAUCCCUUCAUUUAGAAGCCAGGGAUCAGGUAAGAUUUAGGAUACCCCGCUCCUGAAAUAUAGCUUUUUUUCCUAGACUAUUCAUUAAACUUGCACUAGCAGUAGUGCUUGCUGAUCUCUUAGCAACCAAGUUCAGGGAGCCACAUGAACUGAAAACAAUUUGCUAUGCUUUGCAGGGUUGGUCUUCUUUCCUCUUCAGCUCCCUGAACGGGCUCACUACGGCAUCAGAAAAAGGCGAGCACCAGCGCAUGGACUUAGGAAGAACAGCUAGCCCCUUGUGUCCGAGGUUUCAGUGAAGGAGGCAAGUCAACAGGAAGAACCAUGCAACUAAAAGCAGCCUCACAAAGGAUCUGCUGUAGUUUUGAUCCAAUAAAUUUUCAGAGGCAGUAAGGACACAAGUGGCAUCAUGAAGAGUUAACAAGUUAAGAAGUACCUUCCUGGAGAUUUAGAGAAGAUGUACAAGGAGAAGAGCAAAAGGAAGAAAUACAAGGAAAUCUGAGUUUGGGACAGGUCUUCACUUUAAGAGAAGGAUUAAUCUUAGUGGGAUCAUUGUUAGCCAGGGCCACCUAUUCUCUUCUGUAUGAUGUGAUGUGUUGCUUUUAUCUAUAAAAUCUGUCAACAACUCAAAUAAACUACAAGCUACGCUAAAAUGCCAUCUCUUUCUCCAUCAGUGUGUGUACUGAUACUGAUACCGAUACCGAUACCGAUACCGAUACCGAUACCGAUACCGAUACCGAUACCGAUACCGAUACCGAUACUGAUACUGAUACUGAUACUGAUACUAAGCAUUGUCAUUAUCUACAAGCAAAACAUACUUGUCCUAUUCCCCCUAAUCAAGUUCCCCUCCAGACUCAUACAAAUCUACAUGCAUAUUUGAUAAAAUUAGGGACAAUUCUACUAUAAAAGUAUCUUUAAAAAAAAAAACUCAUAACAUUUUGGUUUGUUCUACCAAAGGUAUCA